rnacentral:ribozyme from 12 species
GAAAAGAUUGAACCAGAAAAUGGAAGUUCAAAAGAGAUUGGUGAAGAAAUGGAAACUUAGUAAUUGAUGACAGUUUUUUUUUUUUUUUUUUCUUCUUCUUUUUUUUUCAUUUUUGAUCUACCAAAUAUUCUCAGCAAUUGAAUUGGAAUGAAUUAUAUACAAGCUAUUACCAAAAAGAUGUGUCGGUAUGAAAAACAACAGAAUAUGAGUAACAAAAAGGUAUGAGCACAAAAGAAAAUUUUUAAAAAUUAAAUUAAAUAAACAUCAUAUUGUAUUAUUUUUCAUUUUGGACCAAAGAAUGAAAA